rnacentral:lncRNA from 1 species
GGUUCUUCUUAAGUCAACUUCUGUGACUCAUUGUAUGCCAGCCACUGUAAAGACUACUGUUUCAUUGCCAAAUCGUGGUGCUUAUAAGUGGCCUAUUUAUUUCCAAGUAUAAGUGAGAACAGGAGAAAUUUAUAUUAUGGGUCAUGAGAUAGAGUGUGUGCUACCGUCUUUCCAGAGGGACAUAGUUCUUAGUGUUGAAUGGGGGGAAAUGUUUUCCUGCAGAAUAGAUUCCCUUAAUAUGGCAUGGUGGUUAGUUAUAUAGUUUCUGAAUCAGACUGCCUGGAUUUGAAUCUUGGAUCCACUUCUAUAUCUCCAGGCAAGUUGUGAUUAUAGAUUGUAGCUAGACAAAUUACUUAACCCCUCUGAGCCUCAAGUUUCUUGUUUGUAACUUGCCCAGGGGAUGAUAACAAUAGAACCUACUUCAUAGAGUUGAUUAAGUGAUUCUGUGCAAAACACCUAGAACAAGUAUUGGAAACAUACUAGAGGUUCAAUAAAAACUACCUAUCAUCAUCAUUUUUUUAGAUCCAAACAAAAAACUAAGAAUAAACCCAGCUUCUCCUGUUCAAAUUGGCCACUCCUUUGAGACAGUAUCCCUAUGUAAAAUCCUGACCUCAUAAUAGAACCCUGAUAUUGCUGAAUUGGUGUCAGGAGGAACUCUAGUCAGAACUCUUCCUGGGCUGGGCCCUGCAUUAAGUGUUGUCACACAGACUCUACAAAUACAGGGCUGGGCUCUAGAUGAAUCCUAUCACCAGCUGACUAUAGUAAUCUGGGCAUGUUACAAACACCUUGGAUCUUAGCAACUUCACCUAGAAAAGCAGACUUGGCCCACCUGACUAUGAGGGCAAAAGGCAUCUUCUAGCUCUGACAAUGCAUGGCCCCCUAUGUCAUUGAACAGCUAAGGUUCACCACGACUGACCCAGGCUACGUAAACAAGAGAAUGAGACCUGGUUUUGAGGGAUUACCAACACAUGGAAAGGUGAGAUCAUGCCCAAAGUGUCGCAGAGCUUUUCUAGUGAAUACUAAUGAAUGCAGAC